rnacentral:rRNA from 1 species
UGGGGAAUAUUGCACAAUGGGCGCAAGCCUGAUGCAGCCAUGCCGCGUGUAUGAAGAAGGCCUUCGGGUUGUAAAGUACUUUCAGCGGGGAUGAAGGGAGUAAAGUUAAUACCUUUGCUCAUUGACGUUACCCGCGGAAGAAGCACCGGCUAACUCCGUGCCAGCAGCCGCGGUAAUACGGAGGGUGCAAGCGUUAAUCGGAAUUACUGGGCGUAAAGCGCACGCAGGCGGUUUGUUAAGUCAGAUGUGAAAUCCCCGGGCUCAACCUGGGAACUGCAUCUGAUACUGGCAAGCUUGAGUCUCGUAGAGGGGGGUAGAAUUCCAGGUGUAGCGGUGAAAUGCGUAGAGAUCUGGAGGAAUACCGGUGGCGAAGGCGGCCCCCUGGACGAAGACUGACGCUCAGGUGCGAAAGCGUGGGGAGCAAACA